ACGCUCGACACCUACGGAGGCAGCAGUGGGGAAUAUUGCACAAUGGGGGAAACCCUGAUGCAGCGACGCCGCGUGAGCGAAGAAGUAUUUCGGUAUGUAAAGCUCUAUCAGCAGGGAAGAAGAAAGACGGUACCUGACUAAGAAGCCCCGGCUAACUACGUGCUAGCAGCCGCGGUAAUCUGAGCGGGCUGGCAAGGC
rnacentral:rRNA from 1 species